UUGAACCCAACAUGGCGGACGCUGAUACAGAAAAUUUCAGGACUGUAACGCCAUCUUGUGAUCAUAACGCAUUGAAAGAAUGCUUGGAUAGAAAUAACGGUGACAGAUCUAAAUGCACAAAAGAAUGGGAGGCAUUUCAACGCUCAUGUUCCGAAAAUAAAAGGAAAUUGCAAGGGAAACAAGAAACUGGCAGUUGUGGUUGUGAUUGAGGUGGGCAGACAGGCAGGUGUAACACAACACAAGUACAAGAUUGAUUGACAUAAAUGACCUACUUGUCACACCAUCCACAUGUUUGGAAGCAGUGAUAUCGAACGAACUUUCCACUUGUUCCCUUUUGGGAGCAUAGGUGGCCAAAAAGUUUGCACAAGCGUCUAUAAGAGUCUUGACAGACUAAGAUAAUCAAGAAAUAAGCAUAUUGUGAGUAGAGUCGAGGAGGGGAGUCUCAUGAAACAUUCCACAUUCAUCAAGGAUUGAGAGCUGUUGCACUGAAUACCAUUGUUUUACUGAAAAAUGUUGCACAUGCUGAUUGUCAUUAAAUUUGAGUUAAAAGUGAAAAGUAAUUUAUUGGUUUUUAUUUUUUUAUUUUAUUUUUUUUAACCCUUUUACUCCCAGGAAUUACAAAAGAAUAAUUUCUCCUCCCAAUUUUAACACAAUUUGGAGUAGAAAGGUAAUGAGAAUAAAGAAACAGAUCAACU